GCUCAGCACCAGCCGGCUCCGGCUCCAGUAGGUGGGCAGCGCCGCACUCUCGGCGGCCCGCCCGCGGCGCAGCCGGCUUCGCUGCGGGGGCUGGCGGAGGCGGCUCAUCCGCAGUAGGUGCUGCCGGGCGUCAGAGGCAGAGCGCGGCGCAGCGGCAGCACUCAGGCUGGCCAUGGCGAGGAGCGCACGGCGGCCACCUGAGUGGCGCGGCGGCGUAAGGUUCUUAAUCAAGAACCAGCUCUAUGGAGCCAGCACAGGUUUGUCCCAUGGCCUGCUCUGAACAGCGUGCUGUCUGAUAGAAGAUUCCAUUGGCAAAUCAUCUCUGUUGCCUUACAGAGCAAGCAAAGAAGAUGGAUCGAUUGAAGAGCCAUCUGCCUGUGUGCUUUCUACCUUCUGUGCCCUGUUUAAUCCUAGUAUCCACUCUAGCGACUGCAAAGAGUGUGACUAACAGCACUUUAAAUGGCACUGACGUGGUCUUGGGCUUUAUGCCUGUAAUCAUUGCCAGAACUGACCAUAUCAUAGUCAAGGAAGGGAAUAGUGCCUUGAUUAAUUGUAGUGUUAAUGGCAUCCCUGAUCCACAGUUCAAGUGGUAUAAUUCCAUUGGCAAGCUGCUGAAAGAAGAAGAGGAUGAGAAGGAAAGAGGAGGAGGAAAAUGGCAGAUGCUUGAGAGUGGCCUCCUGAACAUCACCAAGGUGUCUUUUUCAGACCGAGGUAAAUACACAUGUGUUGCUUCUAACAUCUAUGGCACUGUGAACAACACGGUGACCCUGCGCGUCAUCUUCACCUCUGGGGACAUGGGUGUCUACUACAUGGUCGUCUGCCUCGUGGCCUUCACCAUCGUCAUGGUCCUCAACAUCACCCGCCUGUGUAUGAUGAGCAGCCACCUGAAGAAGACUGAGAAAGCCAUCAACGAGUUCUUUAGGACAGAAGGUGCAGAGAAGCUGCAAAAGGCAUUUGAGAUUGCCAAGCGGAUCCCCAUCAUCACCUCAGCCAAAACCCUAGAGCUUGCCAAAGUGACCCAGUUCAAAACCAUGGAGUUUGCCCGCUAUAUCGAAGAGCUUGCCAGGAGCGUGCCUCUGCCUCCUCUCAUCAUGAACUGCAGGACCAUCAUGGAGGAGAUCAUGGAGGUGGUCGGGCUGGAGGAGCAGGGGCAGAAUUUUGUGCGGCACACCCCAGAAGGCCAGGAGGCCACCGACAGGGAUGAGGUGUACAUGAUUCCGAACUCUCUGAAGCGAAGCGACUCUCCCACCGCCGACUCAGACGCCUCAUCGCUGCAUGAACAGCCUCAGCAGAUUGCCAUCAAGGUGUCGGUUCAUCCACAGUCCAGAAAAGAUCACGUGGACGACCAAGAAGGGGUGCAGUUUGAAGUCAAAGAUGAAGAGGAGACAGAACCAUCAGCCGAACAUUCCCCAGAAACUGCAGAGCCUUCCACAGAUGUAACAUCCACGGAGCUAACGUCUGAAGAGCCCACGCCUGUGGAGGCAUCGCUAGAUAGAGUCCUGCUGCCAGCUCACCUGGAAACUACAGAGCCGGCAGUGGCGCACGACAGAAACACCUGCAUUAUUUAUGAAAGCCAUGUCUAAUACCAACUCCGAAAAGCUAUGCAUAUCAAGAAAAUCAGGGGCUGCUCCUCGUAGUCCAGAUGUAGUACGCACUUGCCGCUAAGCCUUACCAGGAGACUCUCAUCCCUUAGGUAGGAGUGAUGCCAUUUUAAAAGGGGAAACACCUGUGUGCGGUUCACGUGACUGGACCUUCCCCAGUAGAAAAGGAUGCGGGAAACAUCAGGGUGCAGAACUGAUAAUGUUGGACAGAAGGUCUGUCCAAGUGAUAAGAAUUUUAGAGACUAUUCUCUGCCAAGUACCUUAAUUGGUGAUGCCCUUUUGGCAAAGAGUACACUACUGUAAGAUAAAUUCUGAGUUCAAGAGCCCUGUUCAAUGCACACUGCAUUGCUUUUCUUUUAAAAAAAUUAUAGGUCUGCUACAAUAGCAAAUGCACGUAUAUGGGUUUGUUGCACUUUCUUCUCAGUUUUUAUUCCUUUCACUGUUCCUUUAUAAUGGAGUAAUUGUUGUUAUAUUAAUACUAAUUGCUCUUUCCGGUUUAGUCCUCUUUGUCCUUAUUUUCCCCUAGAACAUUUACCUCAGAGGCUUUGGUAUCAGUCACCAGUACCAGGGCUGAUAUCUUACAAGUCAUUUGUAAUGUUCCAAAGUAGUUACUAGGCUCCGUUUUCUUGUUACUUCCUAGGCUUCUUUUCAUACCUUGAUUUUUAUUUGUUUCCAAUGAAGCUGCUUUUGUGAAACUGAGAAAAACUUUGCCCAGGAAUAGCACUUUAAUAGCCAAAUAAAAUUGUGUUUACCUGUUUGAUCGGAGAACCUUUUGGUGAGCUCAACUGAUGUAUGGGUGGGGGAGGUUAUAAACGGUUGAAUAUAUCCAUAGUACUCACGGCAUUUGAUGAAUUCCUGUAUUUUACAGAAUAUUGGCUUGCAGGAGCUUGCAGAGAAGGAUAUAUAUAUUAUGGUAAUAGCACAGGAAACUGUACCAUCAAAUUUCAUGCCAAAAUUAUUGAAUUAUUUAGUCUCACAAGAAAGUAGUUAUAUGCAAGGCAGAAUGAUGUUAUAGACAAAAGACAAAACUAGUUGUGCAAAGGCCAAUACUUUACCUGACUGUGCUGAUAUCCAGCUGCCUGGCUUUGGGCAAUCUGGGUUUCAGUUUUCUUAUCUGCCAGGUGGGGCAGACUGGAUGAGGUCUAAGCACCACUUCAAUGGCCUCAUUCUCUCACAGAACCAAACCGAUGUUUUCAUCCUUGUUCUUUUCCACAGUCACUUUAACGAUUUGUACUUACAUCUCUGGGUUCACCUAGCAUUGUUUAUGCUGCAUUACUCAAAUAAAUGCAAUGAUUUUCAAAAAUCAUAGCAUUUUAAGCAAGUUGUGGAUCUCUGCCCCCGCCCUAAAUUAAUCAUUUAGACCACUUCUACAUUUUAGAUUUAAUCCUGAUGAGAAUGAGUGGCAUUAUUUCAUUUUCUCUCAGGCACAGGGAGACACUAACCUUAAAGUAGUUAUAAGGGUCAUGGCCACAUCGAGUGAUGGGGUCAUGACACUGGAGAUUACACAAACCACGUUGGUAGUGAGAAAGCAGAUGCAGAUGUUUAGUCCUCAUUCUCUCACUAUCUGGGUAAGUGACCUGGAACAGUUCCCUUUCUUAUUCUGGGGUUUAAUCUUUUUCACCUGCAAAAUACAGGGGUUGUACUGUACCCAAUGGAUCACAAGAUCCCUUCUAGCUCAGAUAUUUAUAGUUUUAUGGGAAGUUUGUGGUCUCUCAUGGUGGCCCCCAUUGCAAAAAAUAAGCAAUAUUUGGAGCAAAAGUGGGUACAUGAGGUUGGAUGCUUUUGCUGUCCAAACUUUACAGCAAAUAUAUCUAGUUCUGUAGCUGAGGGCACAGGGUUUGGCUUUAGGAAUGGCCUUGACAGGGCUAUUUUUGUUCACAGAUAACUGAUGUGGAAGGCAAUUUGACAAGACAUGGAGUCUGAUUAGACAUCUCUUAGUCAGGAAUGAACUGUUGGAAUCUUGGGUGGUCACAUAUAGAAAUUAGUAGUGAGUGAUUAAGAAAUACAAUGAUUCCUGAUUAGGUUUUCUUGACUAGGAUUCUAUGUAUUUGGGUUGCAGAAAAUUUUUAUCUCCAACUCUUAGAAUAUAAACAUUUCCACAUGUUACAGAAGUCAACAAAUUCCUACCAUGGAUUGGUACACUCAAUCAAUACUAAAAUGAUUGAAGCUCAUUUUGUGGUACUGUGUGAACUUUUUCUCAAUGUAUUCCGUUUUCAUUCCACCCAAAUCCUUGUGCACAUUUCCACAUGAAAAUUACAGGAGAAGGCAUUAUUUCAUCUAGACAUUUAUUUGGAAUAAAAAGUUUAUAAUGGGCAAAUUUCUUAUGAAUUAGGAGCAGAAAUGUGUGACCAAAGCUUCUUUAGACUGGGGAGAGUAUAUAGAUUUUCAAAACUUCCCCCUCUUUAAAGUAUUAAAAAGCUCUUGAUAUAAUAACAGCCAACCUAAAGGAAGACUGGCUUACAAUGGAGGUUUCUGCUUCCAGAAAUUCUGUACUCUUCCUCUCCACCCUACAGCUUCUUUACAAAAUAAGAAAGGUUCUCCUGCUAGAAUAUGAGAUGGAGAAGGCCUUGUGACUUUCAGCUGAUUUUUAAAGAUAGUAAACUGUACAGCUUCAUAGAGUUUAUAGACUUAUGGCUCUGUGUGUGUGCGUGUGCACAAUGCACAUGCCAGACUCAUUUGGGCAGAUUUAAAAGCUAAACAGUAAAUCCCAAGCCACGUUCUUUGGGUCAUAUGUAGUCAUUGUCAAAAUCAAACAAGUUCUGGUUUCUGAGUUAUCUGGUUAUAAUCUCUAGCAACUUUUUUUCUAGAAAUUCGGAAAAUGAUUCAGAUACACAUGCAUAUUUAAUUCACUUAGAUAUGAUCUGCAAACUUGGAUGGUAUUUAUUCUAAAUGGAAAAAACAAUUUUAUACUGAAAAUCGAUGUAAUUUAUAGUGGUUUUGUUUAAUAUAUUAUAUUUUCAUAUUUUUAGGGCACAUCUACUUCUCUCAUCUUUUUGUAUAUCAUAUUUGGUAAAAAGAAAUACUAAUACUUGACUAAAAUCUCUAGGAAUUAAAUGUGCUACCUAAUGUAUAGAAAUCACUCUAAAGAUAUGUGAAUGUUCUCACCCAUCCCCGGUAUUACUGUGUCAUGUUCUUACAUCAAGAAUGAUUUGUCUCAAAUGCUUAGGAGCAUUCUUUUUUCCAAAACUAAGGCUAAGAUGCCUGCCAUCCCACAUAAUGGAUUCUGGAAUCCCUUUCCUUUUUCUUUGUUAUUGUUUUCCUCAUUUUUGAUUGUCUGUGUUAUUUAACCCUCCCUUUAAAGAGCAAGUGUUAGGUAAGAAAACAACUUGGUGGAAAGACUGAACUGAACUAUGGCUCUGUAAAUUAUUGAAUGGACUGAUAACCUGUUUUAAACUUAAUGCUUGGAUUGUUAUUUAUUAGUGAUCUAAAAUCUCACUUCUUUAGCUCUUGAAGAAAAUGUGAGGCACAAUGAAUAAUUUGCAUGUUUUGUACAGCUACACUUUCAAUGUAGUGCAGCCAACACAAAUCAAGCUAACUAUAGAAACACCAGUCUCAACCACGGAGGAACCGUUUUACAAAGGCAAAUGCGACACCUGUCCGCAAAUGGAAAUACAGUGUUGUAUCACUGCUGAACCUCUGAAGUGGCAGCCUCUAUGGUUCUGUGAAUGGGGGAUUUCCUCUGAGUGUUUCAUUGGUAAGAAAAUGGAGCGUUUAACUUAUCUUUCAGAUACUCUUAUUUUAUACUCAGCACAGUUCAACUACUCUCUUGGACCUAUCUUCACAUAUCCUUUGGCAGUCCCUUAAGAUUAUUGUUCUUUUUCUAAUCUCACUUUUUAAACUAAUCUAUUGUACUCUUUAAAUACCUACCAAAUCUCAUUGUGUAUUCCCACACAUAUUUUGAGCACCUGGUAUCUUCAAGAUAUUAGUCAUUUUUACACUCAUCUAUUCAUUUAAAAAUUCUUCAGUAGAUAACAAAGUUCAUUUUCCUGAUGACUUUCUUAGGAUUUGUACAGUAAUUAAUCAGGUUUGGAUUAAAUAAAUCAGUGAUGGGCAGGAAAGUAAAAUAAAACAAUUGCUUAUUAUGUUUUCCAGAAGACUGAGUGUUAUACAAGAAAAUAUCAUAUGAGGCUGGUAAUAACCUUUGAAAUUCUACAGAGAUACGAUUUUAAGGAGACUAAUAUUUAGCAUACUGCAAUCAAAGUUGAAGCUUUUAGAGAAGGACUUACACAGUGAAGACAGGGAGACGAUUUCUGAAAUGAAGGAAGGACAGCACACAUUUGAAAUCCUGGAAAACCCCUGAGAAGUAAGGGGGCAGGGGCAGCAAGAGGUCCGAAUGUUCUGGUGGAGGAAGCCUUGGACAAUUAAUUCGCACUUGUAUUCAAAAGAUGCAGAGCACAGAACAAAGGUGUGGUUUCUACAUGCCUGUAAAAGUCUCGGGGAGAGAGGAAGCACUCCCUCCAGCACCUCACCACCCCUCACCAA